CCUACGGGAGGCAGCAGCUAAGAAUAUUCCGCAAUGGACGAAAGUCUGACGGAGCGACGCCGCGUGGAUGAAGAAGGCCGGACACGCGUUGUAAAAUCCUUUUAAACGGGAAGAAUAAGUCCUGCAGGGAAUGGCAGGGCGGUGACGGUACCGUUUGAAUAAGCAACGGCUAAUUACGUGCCAGCAGCCGCGGUAAU
rnacentral:rRNA from 1 species